UACGGGGGGAGCAAGCGUUGUUCGGAUUUACUGGGCGUAAAGGGCGCGUAGGCGGCUUGCUAAGUCGGACGUGAAAUCCCUCAGCUUAACUCCGAAACUGCAUUCGAUACUGGCGUGCUUGAGGACUGGAGAGGAGACUGGAAUUUACGGUGUAGCGGUGAAAUGCGUAGAUAUCGUAAGGAAGACCAGUGGCGAAGGCGGGUCUCUGGACAGUUCCUGACGCUGAGGCACGAAGGCCAGGGGAGCAAACGGG
rnacentral:rRNA from 1 species